CUCGUGGAGCUUAUACUCCAGUGAGGGAGAAAGACUUGAGUUGAAUCAUCACCUUAAAUGAAUGGAUGAUUACAAAAUAAGAUAAGUGCUGUUGUGGCAGGGGUUCUAGUAGUCCCUCAAUGUCCAUUGUCCCCUUCCUUAUGAGUAAUAGAACUUUCCAUUUCCAGAUGGUUACCUGGAAUAAGGACUACAUUUACCAGCCUUCCUGCAACUAGACAUGCCAUAUGGUAAACUCUGACCAAUGGGAUGUAAGCAGAAGUGGGCAUUUUGGCUGUGGUGCUGAUCAUGGGCUUCUUCCAGAAAUUUGUGACAGGUGGCAUCUCUGAGAAUGAAUGGAAAAGACUGUGCUCCAGACCAAAGCUGUAAGCAGUAGCUACUCUGUCCACAACCUCCAUCUGGGAAAAAUCACUUAGACAAAGGAUCUUUUAUGGAGAAGAUAAUCUACUUCCAUUGGCAGCCCUUGAUGAGCAAGCCACCAGGUGGAACCAGUAAAACGUGAAGGACUGAAGCCGAUUGGUCAAGAGAUGGACGCCUUAUUCGAAGGGAGUCAAUCCACCAACAGGUCCGCUAUUUGUGGGUUUUGUGGCCAAGUUGGGAAAGAUGAGCUUGACCUAACAUAUUCUCCUCUCAAGAAAUAACACACCUUGUCCAAUCCAAGGUAGCCAAUUGAAUGGAAACGCUGUGAAGUAUCACGGCUGGGGCAGGAUGUUUGCCGGCAUGUGCAAGACUGAGUCAAGAAGAAAUAAGACCCGGAGGAAGACAGUUGCAAGGGAGCUAGAAGAAAGCUGAGCAGUUGCACCUUCAGCAGCAGAAAAACCAUCAGAGAGACAGAGAGGGUCGCUGGUCCCAAGAUGACCGGCUCCUGUCCUCUCUGAGGCUCCUGGUUCGUUUUUGCUUUCCUCAGAUUUUUUGAUCUUUAUGUUAAACCUUCGUUUUACUUGUGCUAUUUCCAGCAUGUUUCUUUUUCCUGCAAUCAAAAGAACUCUGACUAGAACACAGCGUUGGUGACACAGAGGCAAAAUGGUUGCUUUCAUACGUGUGGAGGCCAGUGUCAGACACCUUAAAAAAGCAGAUUCAGCAAUUCUACAUCUUGUUCUUGAUGCUCAGGAUAAAAUCGCAGAACUGGAUGGGACAUAUCACUUCAUUGAGUGUUCACCACGUGUACUGAUGCUUUACACAUCAAAUCAUUUUAUCCUCACAACAAACGGAGAUUAGAAAAUUCCUAUGCUUGUUCUAUAGAUGAAGAAAUUGACGCACCAAGAAGCAUGGCAGAGACAGGGUUGCUCAUCCAACAUUCUACCUGCUCCCCCACACUUCCCAGCCCCUUACCCUUGGGCAAGGCCAGAGGCGCUGGCAGAGUAAAGCCUGUGUGUGAUUCUCCAGCUCUUCUCUUCCCCUGCAUGGUGCCCAGAAAGGCAGUGCCCACACAGGGCGGUGGACAGGGUAGCACAGCCUCUAUCAACCUGGUACCUCGAGUGUCUCCCAGAGCAGAGCCUCCGCUUCCUCCACCAGCCCACUUUGCAUAUUGGAUAUGCACUGUAAAUAAGAAAUAAAUCUUUGUUUGUUGUGCUACCAAGAUUUCAGUGUUUGUUUUGUUGUUUUGUUUUAACUGUAGCACAACCUGGCUACUCUAACAUAUCCAAGAGGGUCUGGGUAACUUACCCAAGGGGACACAGCUAGUACAUGGCAGA